CUCUUUUCCUUUGCUCAUUUCUCACGGUACAUCUUUGACGAGAGGCCCACUAAAAGUUAUGAUUAAGAAUUCGUGGGUAGUACCAUGCUUGAAGAGCCAACUACUUCUCAAGGUUAUAUGAAGAACUAUAGGAAAGCUAGCUGGAUUGCACCACUGCAAAGACAAAGGAGCUAGAAGGAAAAUCAAUGAAGAAAGGAACACAAGCAAUGGUUAGCAUUCACUGUCGCAGUAUAUCCAGUAAUUCUGUGGAUGGGGCAGAGAACCACAGAAGCAAUAGUCUUCUCCAGAAUCAUUCCAUAAUUUAACAAGAGAAGACAUAAUAAGCAAGAGAAAGAGCAUGAGGACCCUUGGAGCCCGUGGCUGUAGCGGCAUAGGAACAUUCUUCAGUACCCUCCAACAUCCAAGGGGAGUUACUGCAAGGAAAAGGAACAAGAAUCUCACUGAAUUUGCCUCCAUGUCAGAGCCAUGCCAGGAGCUAUAGAUGCAAAGUUUCAAUGAAACCCGGCCUCAGCCCUAGGAAGUACUGUUACCCACCUGUCUCAGUGAGACAACGUCUACUUUCAAAGGUUAAAUCUCUUGACUCUGGAUACAUGUCAUUUGUGGGGAUGGAGGAUCUGACCAAUUUCUUGAUUCUGAAAUGGGAAAUUUUUUCGCAGUAUUAGCUGCUGGUCAGGAUCAAGGCAGAUGUCUGAUCCGUAGGAAAUGCUGCAGAGCAGCUGUUGUGAGGCACUUGCUUACAGAGGCAUUCUCCAGGAGUACUGUUCUAGCCAAGUCAGAGGGAUCUCCAUGAAGGGCAGGCCACCAACCUGGAGAGGGAAGGCCACUUAGAGGCAGUGCUGGCCGCGCCUGUGCAGCGUGCUGCUGGAUGCCGCUGUGCUUCCUCGAGCUGCUGCUUGGAUUUCAGUGAGAUUUCUUUCAUUGCCCUGUGGACCUGGCAC